rnacentral:snoRNA from 1 species
ACCCUCCAGUUUCCGUAGCCAGCAGACUUACACCCUCGUCUGAGUGGCUAUAAAGGAGGAGAAGGAAAAUUGCAACGGACUUAGCCUAUUUGGUGAUGCACUAGCACACACAGGAGCUAGUUUCCAACACAC